CCUGGUAGUGGGGGACAACGUUUCGAAAGGAACGCUAAUACCGCAUACGUCCUACGGGAGAAAGCAGGGGACCUUCGGGCCUUGCGCUAUCAGAUGAGCCUAGGUCGGAUUAGCUAGUUGGUGGGGUAAUGGCUCACCAAGGCGACGAUCCGUAACUGGUCUGAGAGGAUGAUCAGUCACACUGGAACUGAGACACGGUCCAGACUCCUACGGGAGGCAGCAGUGGGGAAUAUUGGACAAUGGGCGAAAGCCUGAUCCAGCCAUGCCGCGUGUGUGAAGAAGGUCUUCGGAUUGUAAAGCACUUUAAGUUGGGAGGAAGGGUUGUACGCUAAUACCGUGCAAUUUUGACGUUACCGACAGAAUAAGCACCGGCUAACUCUGUGCCAGCAGCCGCGGUAAU
rnacentral:rRNA from 1 species